GGUUAAGUGACUAAGCGUACAUGGUGGAUGCCUUGGCAGUCAGAGGCGAUGAAGGACGUACUAACCUGCGAUAAGCCGUGAGCAGUCGGUAAGAGACAUUACGACUCACGGAUUUCCGAAUGGGGAAACCCACCCGAGACAACUCGGGUAUCUGUUACUGAAUACAUAGGUAACAGAGGCGAACCGGGAGAACUGAAACAUCUAAGUACCCCGAGGAAAAGAAAUCAACCGAGAUUCCCUCAGUAGCGGCGAGCGAACGGGGAUUAGCCCUUAAGCAUCUUGGAAGUUAGUGGAACGGUCCUGGAAAGGCCGGCGAUACAGGGUGAUAGCCCCGUACACGAAAACAACCUUGAUGUGAAAUCGAGUAGGGCGGGACACGUGACAUCCUGUCUGAAUAUGGGGGGACCAUCCUCCAAGGCUAAAUACUCCUGACUGACCGAUAGUGAACCAGUACCGUGAGGGAAAGGCGAAAAGAACCCCUGUGAGGGGAGUGAAAUAGAACCUGAAACCGUGUACGUACAAGCAGUGGGAGCCCUUCGGGGUGACUGCGUACCUUUUGUAUAAUGGGUCAGCGACUUACAUUUUGUAGCGAGGUUAACCGUAUAGGGGAGCCGUAGGGAAACCGAGUCUUAACUGGGCGUCUAGUUGCAAGGUGUAGACCCGAAACCGGGUGAUCUAGCCAUGGGCAGGUUGAAGGUUGAGUAACAUCAACUGGAGGACCGAACCCACUAACGUUGCAAAGUUAGGGGAUGACCUGUGGCUGGGGGUGAAAGGCCAAUCAAACUCGGAGAUAGCUGGUUCUCCCCGAAAGCUAUUUAGGUAGCGCCUCGGACGAAUACUACUGGGGGUAGAGCACUGUUUGGGCUAGGGGGUCAUCCCGACUUACCAACCCCAUGCAAACUCCGAAUACCAGUAAGUACUAUCCGGGAGACACACGGCGGGUGCUAACGUCCGUCGUGAAGAGGGAAACAACCCAGACCGCCGGCUAAGGUCCCAAAGUUCUGGUUAAGUGGGAAACGAUGUGGGAAGGCUCAGACAGCUAGGAUGUUGGCUUAGAAGCAGCCAUCAUUUAAAGAAAGCGUAAUAGCUCACUAGUCGAGUCGGCCUGCGCGGAAGAUGUAACGGGGCUCAAACCAGGCACCGAAGCCGCGGAUUCACGCUAAGCGUGAGUGGUAGGGGAGCGUUCUGUAAGUCUGCGAAGGUGUGUCGAGAGGCAUGCUGGAGAUAUCAGAAGUGCGAAUGCUGACGUAAGUAACGAUAAAGGGGGUGAAAAGCCUCCUCGCCGGAAGACCAAGGGUUCCUGUCCAACGUUAAUCGGGGCAGGGUGAGUCGACCCCUAAGGCGAGGCCGAAAGGCGUAGUCGAUGGGAAGCAGGUUAAUAUUCCUGCACGACUUGUAAUUGCGAUGGGGGGACGGAGAAGGCUAGGUGGGCCAGGCGACGGUUGUCCUGGUGAAAGUGCGUAGGCGGUACCUUUAGGUAAAUCCGGAGGUGCAACGCUGAGACACGAGACGAAC
rnacentral:rRNA from 1 species